UACAGAGGGCGCGAGCGUUGUCCGGAAUCACUGGGCGUAAAGGGCGCGUAGGUGGCCACUAUAAGGCCGCGGUGAAAGUUCGGGGCUCAACCCUGAAUCGGCCGCGGCGACUGUAGGGCUUGGGCACUGUAGAGGCAGAUGGAAUUCCAGGUGUAGCGGUGAAAUGCGUAGAUAUCUGGAGGAACACCGGUGGCGAAGGCGGCAUCCUGGACCGGCAUUGACGCUGAGGCGCGAAAGCUAGGGGAGCAAACGGG
rnacentral:rRNA from 1 species